rnacentral:rRNA from 1 species
AUUGAACGCUGGCGGCAGGCUUAACACAUGCAAGUCGAACGAGGGGCGGACGGGAGAGUAAUGAUUGGGAAUCUAGCUUAUGGAGGGGGAAAACUACGGGAAACUAGAGCUAAUACAGCGUAACAUAGAAAGAGCCCAAGUGGGAUUAGGUAGUUGGGGAGGUAAAGGCCCACCAAGCCGACGAUCUCUAGCAGGUCUGAGAGGAUGAACCGCCACACUGGGACUGGGACCCUGCCCUGACCCCUACGUGAGGCAGCAGUGGUGAAUAUUUCGCAAUGGGGGCAACCUGACGCAGCCAUGCCGCGUGAAUGAAGAAGGCCUUCGGGUUUUAAAGUUCUUUCGGUAGCGAGGCGUUAACUACAGAAGAAGCACCGGCUAACUCCGUGCCAGCAGCCGCGGUAAUAC